rnacentral:rRNA from 1 species
GGAAUAUUGGUCAAUGGGCGAGAGCCUGAACCAGCCAAGUAGCGUGCAGGAUGACGGCCCUAUGGGUUGUAAACUGCUUUUAUACGGGGAUAAAGUGAGGGACGUGUCCCUUAUUGUAGGUACCGUAUGAAUAAGGACCGGCUAAUUCCGUGCCAGCAGCCGCGGUAAUACGGAAGGUCCGGGCGUUAUCCGGAUUUAUUGGGUUUAAAGGGAGCGCAGGCCGACUGGUAAGCGUGACGUGAAAUGUAGCCGCUCAACGGCUGAACUGCGUCGCGAACUGUCAGUCUUGAGUGAGUUCGAUGUUGGCGGAAUUCGUGGUGUAGCGGUGAAAUGCUUAGAUAUCACGAAGAACUCCGAUUGCGAAGGCAGCCAACAAGGCCUUUACUGACGCUAAAGCUCGAAGGUGCGGGUAUCGAACA